rnacentral:rRNA from 1 species
GUGCAGCAGUCGAGAAAACUUCACAAUGUGCGAAAGCACGAUGAGGGAAUCCCAAGUGCUUGCACGUAAGUGUAAGCUGUUUCUCUGUCUAAAACGCAGAGAGAGUAAGGGCUGGGUAAGACGGGUGCCAGCCGCCGCGGUAAUACCUGCAGCUCGAGUGGUGACCGUUAUUAUUGGGCCUAAAACGUCCGUAGCCGGUUUAAUAAAUGCCUGGGUAAAUCGGACCGCUUAACGGUUCGAAUUCCGGGUAGACUGUUAAACUUGAGACCGGGAGAAGUUAGAGGUACUCCUGGGGUAGAGGUGAAAUUCUGUAAUCCUAGGGGGACCACCAGUGGCGAAGACGUCUAACUAGAACGGGUCUGACGGUGAGGGACGAAGCCCUGGGGCGCAAACGGGGAUUAGAUACCCGUGUAGU